GACGAACGCUGGCGGCGUGCCUAAUACAUGCAAGUAGAACGCUGAAGAGAGGAGCUUGCUCUUCUUGGAUGAGUUGCGAACGGGUGAGUAACGCGUAGGUAACCUGCCUGGUAGCGGGGGAUAACUAUUGGAAACGAUAGCUAAUACCGCAUAAUAGUAGAUGUUGCAUGACAUUUGCUUAAAAGGUGCAAUUGCAUCACUACCAGAUGGACCUGCGUUGUAUUAGCUAGUUGGUGGGGUAACGGCUCACCAAGGCAACGAUACAUAGCCGACCUGAGAGGGUGAUCGGCCACACUGGGACUGAGACACGGCCCAGACUCCUACGGGAGGCAGCAGUAGGGAAUCUUCGGCGAUGGACGGAAGUCUGACCGAGCAACGCCGCGUGAGUGAAGAAGGUUUUCGGAUCGUAAAGCUCUGUUGUAAGAGAAGAACGAGUGUGAGAGUGGAAAGUUCACAGG
rnacentral:rRNA from 1 species